UACGGGGGGGGGGCAAGCGUUGUUCGGAAUUACUGGGCGUAAAGGGCUCGUAGGCGGCCAACUAAGUCAGACGUGAAAUCCCUCGGCUUAACCGGGGAACUGCAUCUGAUACUGGAUGGCUUGAGUUCGGGAGAGGGAUGCGGAAUUCCAGGUGUAGCGGUGAAAUGCGUAGAUAUCUGGAGGAAUACCGGUGGCGAAGGCGGCAUCCUGGACCGGCAUUGACGCUGAGGAGCGAAAGCUAGGGGAGCAAACGGG
rnacentral:rRNA from 1 species